rnacentral:rRNA from 1 species
GACGAACGCUGGCGGCGUGCCUAAUACAUGCAAGUCGAACGCAGUUGCGAACGGGUGCGUAACGCGUAGGGAACUGCCUCAUAGCGGGGGACAACUAGUGGAAACGAUAGCUAAUACCGCAUACUGUGAGAUGGACCUGCGUUGGAUUAGCUAGUGGGUGAGGUAAAGGCUCACCACGGCGACGAUACAUAGCCGACCUGAGAGGGUGAUCGGCCACACUGGGACUGAGACACGGCCCAGACUCCUACGGGAGGCAGCAGUGGGGAAUAUUGGACAAUGGGGGAAAGCCUGAUCCAGCCAUCCCGCGUGUACGAAGAAGGCCUGCGGGUUGUAAAGCACUUUUGGCAGGGAAGCGGUACCUGAAGAAUAAGCAACGGCUAACUACGUGCCAGCAGCCGCGGUAAUUC